CUCCCGGGGCGCCCGCCGCCGGGCCUCGCGCCGCCUUCAGGGACCGGGGCGGCCGGCCGCGGGGCGCCGGGCUCCCGACAGCCGCAUUCCGACACAGCGCUCGGCCCGGCGCGCCGCGCUCCUCGGCGGCGGCUCCGCGCGCCCGGGCGCCGGGUGCACCUGUUCUUCAGCCGGCCCGCAGCCAACCCUCGGCCGGCAGCCCCGCUGGGAGACCAAUCCGAGCGCGGCGCGGCCGGCGGGCCGACCGACUCCCUCGCGCCGCCGCCGCCACCCGCGAGUCCCGCUCCGGCGAGCUGCGCGCCGCCACCGCCGGCCCGGCCGGGGACGCACGGAGCUGGGCAGCUGGUGCCGGCCGGCCCGCUGCGGAGGGAUGCCCAACCGCCGCAGAGGAUGCGAAAUCGCUCCUGCGCGCCUCGCCGCUCACGCCUGGGGAGGUGAAGCGGGGACCGCGGCGGGGAUGCCGGGCGACGCGCCCUCGGCCGGAGGCGGCUGCAGGCGGGCGCUGGCGGCCGCGCGGGUGCGGGGUGUGCGGAGCCGCGGCGGACGGGCUGGGCUGGAGGCGGAGCGGCGCCUCCGCCCAACUCCUAAUGGUGGGUGCCUGAUGCGCGCAAGAUAAAUAAAUGGUCCAGCGGCCCCCACUUGGAUGUGUGUGGCAAAAGCAGCUGCCGACCGAUUGGGAGCCAGUCUCCGGUGUGGCUCCAGUGGGGUCAGAGACUGACGCGGCGGAGCGAGGGGGCGGGGGUGUGGGAGGGUGUUUCUGCGCCCCCCCCCCCCCCCCCCAGCUCUCCGCCUGACAGCGGGGGCUGCCUGAUGGAGGGCCCCCUUUCCUUCCGACUUCCCGGAGAGAUGCUUGUGCUGCAGAUGACCUUUGUGCGAUUAGACCUGGCAGAUAACGCACAGGCCGAUUCACGAGAAUUUGCCUUUAAAAAGAAAGUAUCGUCUUUAAAUGGAGAUGUACGCACGGGUACACACGUCACAAGGCAAAUGAUUGUGAGAGGUGGAGAGCAGAACGGUACACUGAAAAGACGCAGAGAGCAGAGGAUGCCUUGGAACAGGAAGCCCCAGGGAUCUGGUACCUACCAGAGUCUUUUGCACAGACGCGCUUAAUAAAUUAUCUUUGAUGGGGACAGACCUAAUCUUCGCUAAUCAUCCAUGAGAUAAAGAACAAGGAGUUGGAAGGUCUAAGUCCACCGUUUACAGCACGAUCAGGAAAAAGGAGAGAAGUCUAUGUUUGGUCUCAUCACAGGCAUAGUGUCGGAAGUGUCAUCCUGGAGAAACAGAACUCUGCACAUCAAAGUUGGUCCAUCACAUUGUGCUUUCAAAGAAAUCUCUCACUGAGCUGCAAAUACUUUGGUUAAGCUAAGCUUGGGGUCACAUAUCAUUUCUGAAACCACAGCUAUCAAAUACUUGAUGGAUUUAGAAUGUAUGUGUCCAGAAAUCAAUAGGUACAGGAU
rnacentral:lncRNA from 1 species